rnacentral:rRNA from 1 species
GAGACCUCAGGUCAGGCGGGGCUACCCGCUGAGUUUAAGCAUAUCAAUAAGCCGGAGAUAAAA